UUUUUCUACUGGGGACUGAACGCCUGGCCUUCCACAUGAUAAGCUCAGUCAGCCACCCCUCCAGACCAUGGCAACACGUUCCAGAGAGAGACUACUCACGCGACCCUCUCAUCUGGAUGUGUGUGGCACAUUGCCUGGCAAGGGCACCCUGAGCCAGAACAAGUCUUCCACCUAUUAUUUGGUUCUGAACCAUAAAUAUAGCAUUCUGGGAGCAGAGUCUAA